CCGGAGAAGAUGGCAGUGUCCACAGGAGUUAAAGUUCCUCGUAAUUUUCGCUUGUUGGAAGAACUUGAAGAAGGACAUAAAGGAGUAGGUGAUGGUACUGUUAGCUGGGGCCUUGAAGAUGAUGAAGACACGACACUUACAAGGUGGACAGGCAUGAUUAUUGGGCCACCAAGGACAAACUAUGAAAACAGAAUAUAUAGCCUGAAAGUAGAAUGUGGAUCUAAAUACCCAGAAGCUCCUCCAUCAGUUAGAUUUGUAACAAAAAUUAAUAUGAAUGGAAUCAAUAAUUCCAGUGGAAUGGUGGAUGCAUGGAGCCUACCAGUAUUAGCAAAAUGGCAAAAUUCCUAUAGCAUUAAAGUCAUACUUCAAGAGCUAAGACGUCUUAUGAUGUCCAAAGAAAAUAUGAAACUUCCACAGCCUCCAGAAGGACAGACGUACAACAACUAACUUCAGUGGAUCUCAAACUUGUCUUAAAUCAGCAACCUUCUACUCGUGUUAAUGUCUUGAUUAAAUAUCACCAUGCAAAAUACCCACACAUUAAGUAAAAGAAUUGCAGCUGGUAAACAUGACCUGGACAGUUGUAAGAAUAUAUUUAAUAUAUGUAUACCUAUUAUGUUUUCAGGUAACAAGAGAAGUGCAGCACAAUUUUUCUUUCUCUUCUUAAAGCACUGUCAUUUAAACAUGAACCUGAAGUAUUCAAAAUGGAAUUUAGGUUUUCAAGACAAAAGCAUGGCAAAAGAGUGUCAGAUGGCCAUGGAAACAUUUGUUUUUCUGGAAAGUAAAGUCUCAAGAAGGAAGAACAGAAAUGGCAUGUUUUAUUUAUCAUAUUUAGAGCUGCAGUUGGAAUUGUUUAAAGUAGCAGAUACAAUGAACAAUCGACAAUUGUGUUAGUUCUUGAAGCCGUGUGGGUGCUGACUACUGUUAGUAUCAAACAUAGGUUCAGGAUUGUUUUGAUACCUGUAUUUAUAAUAAAAGAUGUUGGGGGUUUUGAAUUUCUGUUAAAAGCUGUUCCCGUUUGUUACAUGUAACAGACAUAAUAAUUUGUUUACAGUCUUUGUUUAGUAAAACAUGCUUAGAUGUUUNAAGUGAAGUCAACAAAAAGAAAAUAGGUGUAUGGAUAUGUGAUUUUGAGAUGAAAAUUAGUCUUAAAGUGUAAAUAAAACAUGGAAUGUGUCUUAAAAAA